UCUGUCCCUCAAGCAGGAUAGCAUCCAGGUCGCCCAAUAUUCUACCCGUCAGAGGGUACAAUUUUCAAUAGCUGUGAAGAGGCGAGAGAUAUUUUUUAAUCUUUAUUCAUGAGAAAUUGGUUUUGGUGUUCGCUACGGACGAAGUAACAAGAACAACAAGGGUUAUAGGACAAGGCAAGAUAUUGUUUGCUCAUGUGAGGGCUCAUCACGGAUCAGCAAUUGUGCUUCUGUAAGGACUGGGUGUAAAGUGAUGAUAAGGUUGCUUAGAACUAGUGUGAUCAUGGAUGGUAUAUUAGCCGAGUGAACACAAGCCACAACCACAAAUUAUCCGAGGGGUAUGCAGAGAAGAAACAAUGGAAUUCUCACAGAAUGAUAGAUGCAACCACCAAGUAUUAUCAAGAAACAAAGAGACAACAAUGUGAUGUUACAUUUGGACAGGCAAGAAAUACCAAAGUUUAAUAUAAUGCAAAGAUGGACAAAGGAGGCAAUUGUAUAUAAUAUAAAUCACAGGCACAUGACAGUGAUAUAGGAUCAGAUGCAGAUCAAAUGAGAAAGAAGGCUUUGCUGAUGAUGCAGACUCUUCAGUUAGUCCAUGGACCUACUGCUGUUGACGAGCAGAUGUUCAGGAAUGCUAUGGAAGCUUUAAGGGCUCUUCCUGCAGUGCAGUGCACCGAUGGAGUAAUUGUUCAAUCUGGCAUGAGUAGCAUGGACAUUGAGCAUGAGCAGCUCCCUGUUUCUUGUCCUGAGAGGACAAUGAAAGGUGGCCGGCCACUUAGUACUGGACUUAAGGCGUGGCUAUCAAGGAACGAUAAGAAAAGGAUCUCAGAAUGUUCAUCAAGGGAUCCAUUAGCUGAAGACUGGCCUGAGGAAGAGAGGCCUGAUAGGAAGAAGACCCGGCGCAUAAUUGAUAUUUGAUAGGCGAAGAUGUAGUAUAGUUUAUUUU